AUCCAGCUGACGAGUCCCAAAUAAGACAAAAACGCGUCAAACUGGAU
rnacentral:hammerhead_ribozyme from 1 species